GUGAAGACACCUCGUAUAAAACCACUGGACCACUAAUGCCAGCAUAUUAAAGCUGAUAAAAUGGAGGAACAGUGGUGGUGGUCGCAACUUCAGUUUACCAGAUGCGAGACUCUCCUGAGGGCAGAGUAGCAGAGCCAUGGCGGUUCACUGUUAGUGAAGGAGGUACUGGUCCAGAGCCUGGUAGAGAGAAUGAAGACAAUACAAAUGGAA